rnacentral:rRNA from 1 species
GGUAGUGCAUGGUUGUCGUCAGCUCGUGUCGUGAGAUGUUGGGUUAAGUCCCGCAACGAGCGCAACCCUUAUCUUUAGUUGCCAUCAUUAGGUUGGGCACUCUAGAGAGACUGCCGGUGACAAACCGGAGGAAGGUGGGGAUGACGUCAAAUCAUCAUGCCCCUUAUGAUUUGGGCUACACACGUGCUACAAUGGAUGGUACAAAGGGCAGCAAAACCGCGAGGUCAAGCAAAUCCCAUAAAACCAUUCUCAGUUCGGAUUGUAGUCUGCAACUCGACUACAUGAAGCUGGAAUCGCUAGUAAUCGUAGAUCAGCAUGCUACGGUGAAUACGUUCCCGGGUCUUGUACACAC